rnacentral:rRNA from 1 species
AUGAAACCUAAUAAGCCACCAGGCCCUGAUAAUAUUCCUAUUGAAUUCUUUCAAUACUGUUGGGAGAUUGUUAAGGUUGAUAUAAUGAAGUUAUUUUAGUGGUUUCAUGAAAAUAAACUUGACAUGCAACGUUUCAAUUAUGGGAUCAUAACCCUUUUGCCAAAAAUGGUUGGAGCUAAUAAGGUACAACAAUUUAGGCUGAUAUGUCUUUUGCGUUGCAUUUACAAGCUUAUUACAAAGGUUCAUUGUAGGAUCGAAAGUAUGUCUAGAGGGGGGUGA